UACGUAGGGCGCAAGCGUUAUCCGGAAUUAUUGGGCGUAAAGAGCUCGUAGGCGGUUUGUCGCGUCUGCUGUGAAAGACCGGGGCUCGACUCCGGUUCUGCAGUGGGUACGGGCAGACUAGAGUGAUGUAGGGGAGACUGGAAUUCCUGGUGUAGCGGUGAAAUGCGCAGAUAUCAGGAGGAACACCGAUGGCGAAGGCAGGUCUCUGGGCAUUAACUGACGCUGAGGAGCGAAAGCAUGGGGAGCGAACAGG
rnacentral:rRNA from 1 species